GAUGAACGCUGGCGGCAGGCCUAACACAUGCAAGUCGAGGGGUAGCAGGAUUAAGCUUGCUUAAUUGCUGACGACCGGCGCACGGGUGCGUAACGCGUAUGCAACCUACCUUAUACUGGGGUAUAGCCCGGAGAAAUUCGGAUUAAUCCCCCAUAGUACUAAUGAAUCGCAUGGUUUAUUAGUUAAAGCAUUGCGGUAUAAGAUGGGCAUGCGUCCUAUUAGCUAGAUGGUGAGGUAACGGCUCACCAUGGCUACGAUAGGUAGGGGGCCUGAGAGGGUGGUCCCCCACACUGGUACUGAGACACGGACCAGACUCCUACGGGAGGCAGCAGUGAGGAAUAUUGGUCAAUGGGCGCAAGCCUGAACCAGCCAUGCCGCGUGCAGGAAGAAUGCCCUAUGGGUUGUAAACUGCUUUUAUUUGGGAAUAAACCUCUUUACGUGUAGAGAGCUGAAGGUACCAAAUGGAUAAGCACCGGCUAACUCCGUGCCAGCCGCCGCUGUAA
rnacentral:rRNA from 1 species